GCAGAAAUCAAUGUGUGUCAGUGUUUCUUUGCAACAACUGCAGCACGCAGCCUGGUGACGACACGUGUAUGAGGUAGGAUAUGAAAACAUGACCAAACUAAAAAGGGAAGGGGAAGCAUAAAGAAGAGAUAAGACUUGAUAAACAAACUACAGUACAUCCCCAGCCAGAUCUCGGAGGAAAAAGUCUAAGGAAAACCUGUCAAGUCUGUAGAAUUGCAAUGUUGCUGAGAAAAACAAUUAUGUGUUCUGUAGGUCUACUUUCAGAUAUGAAAUGAAUAUUUAAUUCCCUGUUGAAUUAAAGUUACAUGAACAGUUGUCAGUAA